AGCAGCUCUGAUAUAUAUGGGUAGUUUUUCAGGAAGAGAAGGGACCAGCACAGGGCCCACCUCUAUCCCCUCCCUAUUAGUGAAGAUCCGUUAGGCAGAGUAGCUGUCGACUUUAUAGUUGCACAGGCACUUUGGUGACUCUAGAGAACCUCAGGCAAAUCGCACGUCCCCGUGACAGCAACGACGCAUUCGGAUUUCUGUCCUAUCAACUUUCGAUGGACUUUCUGGGCCUACCAUGGUGACCACGGGUAAUGGGGAAUCAGGGUUCAUUUUUG